rnacentral:lncRNA from 1 species
ACGACGAGACAAGUGGCAGAUUAGAGCGAGCGGAGCCCGGGUCGAGGGAUGGCCAUUGAGAGCAGCGAGCAUGCGCGGCAGAUCACGAGCAGGCCAAGGGCAAGGAGGCGCCGCGGAGAGAGAGAGAAGCCGUCGAGAGCAGCGAAGUGCGGAAGCGAAGAGGUCAGCGUGAACUAGAGAGUGGGAGACGAGUUUUUGAGAGAGAGGGGCUGCAGUUAAUGGCGGAGCCCUUGCUGAAAUUUUCUGGAUGCACGUAUGUAGAUCAGGGGAUCCCUGCUGUUCAUGGGCAUGUUGUUUAGAUCAAGGGCUUGCUAAAUUUUUGGAAUGAGGAGCUGAGCAUGAGCUGGAGGUAAAGAGACGGCUGGAAGUGCGGAUCUGAGGAGCUGAGCACAAUAUGGCGGUGAUGAGGUGAAUGGGCCUUGAAUUUGAAUGUGAAUCACUAGAUGUGCUUGGAAGAAUUGUGGUGACUUGUGAAAUUUUUGGUGCUUCCGGUGGUGCAGGAGGGCUGCCGAAAUUUGGUUAUAAUUCAAAGUUAGGCUGAUUUAGGAUUGCUCAAUUCAUGCCCAUGUUGUUGACGUAUUUUGAGCAUCAAGUUAGCCUUGAUCCCAAAAGUAAUAAUAGAAAGGCAAUGCAUGAACAGUUGUCUUGUUUAGGGCUAAUAUUCCAUAGCUCAAAUUUUAUGUUACAUUGAUAAGUUCACCAAGUGUAUGGUGGUUAAUGAAUGUGAUUACUUGUAUGGUUAAUUAAGUUGCUGGACGCUUGCUCGAUAGCUGGCGGUACAUGAGUGGCGAGUCAUGUAUGUAUUGUGAAUGGUCCAUUGGGAAGAGGGCAGAAAAUCAACAACAUUAGGGGAAGAAAACAUCCGAUUCGGAUUAAUUUUAGGAAGUUAUGAAUGUUUGACGUCUGGCUU